rnacentral:rRNA from 1 species
UUAGAGUUUGGAUCCUGGCUCAGAUUGAACGCUGGCGGCAGGCCUAACACAUGCAAGUCGAGCGGAAACGAAGAGGUGCUUGCACCUCUGGCGUCGAGCGGCGGACGGGUGAGUAAUGCUUGGGAAUAUGCCUUAUGGUGGGGGACAACAGUUGGAAACGACUGCUAAUACCGCAUGAUGUCUACGGACCAAAGUGGGGGACCUUCGGGCCUCACGCCAUAAGAUUAGCCCAAGUGGGAUUAGCUAGUUGGUGAGGUAAUGGCUCACCAAGGCGACGAUCCCUAGCUGGUUUGAGAGGAUGAUCAGCCACACUGGGACUGAGACACGGCCCAGACUCCUACGGGAGGCAGCAGUGGGGAAUAUUGCACAAUGGGCGCAAGCCUGAUGCAGCCAUGCCGCGUGUGUGAAGAAGGCCUUCGGGUUGUAAAGCACUUUCAGUAAGGAGGAAAGGUUAAGUGUUAAUAGCCA